rnacentral:rRNA from 1 species
GCAUAUCUAUUAAGCGGAGGGACAAAGAAACUAACAAGGAUUUCCCCUAGUAACUGCGAGUGAAGCGGGAAAAGCUCAAAUUUAAAAUCUGGCGGUCUCUGGCCGUCCGAGUUGUAAUCUAGAGAAGUGAUGCCCGCGCUGGACCGUGUACAAGUCUCCUGGAAUGGAGCGUCAUAGAGGGUGAGAAUCCCGUCUCUGACACGGACUACCAGGGCUUUGUGGUAUGCUCUCAAAGAGUCGAGUUGUUUGGGAAUGCAGCUCUAAAUGGGUGGUAAAUUCCAUCUAAAGCUAAAUAUUGGCGAGAGACCGAUAGCGAACAAGUACCGUGAGGGAAAGAUGAAAAGAACUUUGGAAAGAGAGUUAAACAGUACGUGAAAUUGCUGAAAGGGAAACGCUUGAAGUCAGUCGCGUUGGCCGGGAAUCAGCCUCACUUUUGUGUGGUGUACUUUCUGGUUGACGGGUCAGCAUCAAUUUUGACCGCUGGAAAAAGGCUUGGGGAAUGUGGCAGCUUCGGCUGUGUUAUAGCCCUUUGUCACAUACAGCGAUUGGGAUUGAGGAACUCAGCACGCCGCAAGGCCGGGUUUCGACCACGUUCGUGCUUAGGAUGCUGGCAUAAUGGCUUUAAGCGACCCGUCUUGAAACACGGACCAAGGAGUCUAACAUGCCUGCGAGUGUUUGGGUGGUAAACCCGAGCGCGUAAUGAAAGUGAAAGUUGAGAUCCCUGUCGUGGGGAGCAUCGACGCCCGGACCUGAACUUUUGUGACGGAUCCGCGGUAGAGCAUGUAUGUUGGGACCCGAAAGAUGGUGAACUAUGCCUGAAUAGGGGUGAAGCCAGAGGAAACUCUGGUGGAGGCUCGUAGCGAUUCUGACGUGCAAAUCGAUCGUCAAAUUUGGGUAUCGGGGCGAAAGACUAAUCGAACCAUCUAGUAGCUGGCUCUGCGAG